rnacentral:rRNA from 1 species
UACGGAGGGUGCAAGCGUUUAUCCGGAUUUACUGGGUUUAAAGGGUGCGUAGGUGGGUCUGUAAGUCAGUGGUGAAAUCUCCGAGCUUAACUCGGAAACUGCCAUUGAUACUAUAGGUCUUGAAUUAUCUGGAGGUAAGCGGAAUAUGUCAUGUAGCGGUGAAAUGCUUAGAUAUGACAUAGAACACCAAUUGCGAAGGCAGCUUACUACGGAUUGAUUGACACUGAGGCACGAAAGCGUGGGGAUCAAACAGG